rnacentral:misc_RNA from 1 species
AACGCACAUUGCGCCCCUCGGUAUUCCGGGGGGCAUGCCUGUUCGAGCGUCAUUUCACCACUCAAGCCUCGCUUGUCAUUGGGCGCUGCGGUUCGCCGCACGCCCCAAUGUCUCCGGCUGAGCCGCCCGUCUCAAAGCGUUGUGGCAACUAUCCGCUUCUGGGACCGGGCGACCCGGCCGUUAAACACCCCACACAAGGUUGACCUCGGAUCAGGUAGGGGUACCCGCUGAACUUAA